GAAUUUUGGACAAUGGGCGAAAGCCUGAUCCAGCAAUGCCGCGUGCAGGAUGAAGGCCUUCGGGUUGUAAACUGCUUUUGUACAGAACGAAAAGCUUUGGGUUAAUACCCUGGAGUCAUGACGGUACCGUACGAAUAAGCACCGGCUAACUACGUGCCAGCAGCCGCGGUAACACGUAGGGGGCAAGCGUUAAUCGGAUUUACUGGGCGGAAAGGGUGCGCAGGCGGUUUGGUAAGACAGAGGUAAAAGCCCCGGGCGAAACCGGGGAACGGCCUUUGUGACGGCAGGGCAGAGGUAGGGAAGAGGGGGUGGAAAUCCCGGGUGUGCCAGUGAAUGCCGUGAUAAGGCGGAGAAACACGAAUGGGAAAGCAACCCCCCGGGGCCUGUACUACCGCUAAUGCACGAAGGCGUGGGAGCAAACA
rnacentral:rRNA from 1 species